rnacentral:misc_RNA from 1 species
GGCUUGGUGACGAUGGUGCGGAGAAGGUUUCUACGGUUGGUGUGGAAUCUGAGGACCCUGGAAGCUAAUAGCCCUAGCCCCAUGAGAAGAAGUGGGACAGUGUUGCAGAUAGAAAAUUGAAGAGGUCUCUAUUGAGAAGAUCUACAGAGAAUAGAUUAAGCCUUUGAACUCCGAGAGUAGAGAAGAGACGGGAAAUGAAAUACAGGCGUGUGUCAGUAUUAC